rnacentral:rRNA from 1 species
CAGUAGCCGCGGUAAUUCGUAGGUGGCAAGCGUUGUCCGGAAUUAUUGGGCGUAAAGGGCUCGCAGGCGGUUUCUUAAGUCUGAUGUGAAAGCCCCCGGCUCAACCGGGGAGGGUCAUUGGAAACUGGGAAACUUGAGUGCAGAAGAGGAGAGUGGAAUUCCACGUGUAGCGGUGAAAUGCGUAGAGAUGUGGAGGAACACCAGUGGCGAAGGCGACUCUCUGGUCUGUAACUGACGCUGAGGAGCGAAAGCGUGGGGAGCGAACAGGAUUAGAUACCCGCGUAGUCCCUGUCUCUUAUAC